rnacentral:lncRNA from 1 species
GCCUUCAGACUCAAACUAAACGUCAGCUUUUCCCGGCUCUCAAGCCUGCUGGUCCCUGAACUAAAACUCACAUUAUCAACUCUACUGGUUCUUAGGCCUUUGGAGUCAGACUGGAACUACAGCAUUGACUCUUCCGGAACUCCAGCUUACUGACUACAGAUCUUGGAACUUUUCAGCUUCCACAACCAUAAUGAAAGCCAAGCAUAUUCCAUCAUUUCCUAAAACCAAGAUAGAGCACAUAUGGGAACUUGUGAAAUAAGGAUGCCCUGCGGUUGUUUUCAGGACUGAAGACAACAGCUCCACGAUGUAUCUUUGCAUAAGAAUACACUUGAAACCAAAGCACAAAGAGAGAAAGAAAAGAAAGAGAAAAAAGGAAGAAAGAAAAGAAAGAUGAAAGAAAGAAAGAGAAAGAAGAGAGAGGGAGAGAGAGAAAGAAAGAGAAGGAAAGAAAGAAGGAAGAAGAAAGAAAGAAAGAAAGAAAGAAAGAAAGAAAGAAAGAAAGAAAGAAAGAAAGAAAGAAAGAAAGAAAGAAAAAAGGAAGGAAGGAAAAGAAACACAUGGAAAGUGACAGGCUCCCUUUGUAUAUCACCUUGCAUGGUAAAGUGCAGAGAGCUCCAUCAGAGAAAUGCAGUUAAAAUCCAGUAGAUACCACCGUACACCUGAAAGACUUGUGAACAAACAGAUGACAGAAAAACAAAACAAAGCAAAACAGAACCUGAGAAUUUGAAUUGCUGCUUCUUUGGACCUUUUAAGUUGCAUUAUCCCAUAAAAUGUGGUGGAUUCAAUGUUGUAUGGCCUGUAAAACUAAGUAAUGAAGGCUGAUAUGUACCCACCUGGCUCUGUCUUGGGAUCACACAACUUGGGAGCCAAAACAGAUUGCAAAUGAUGUUCAAAUCAAGGACUGGCUUAAGGGAGAAAAUCAAUUAUACUGUACAACUCACACUUAAGACCUCAGAGAGAUCUAAGAUGAUUCUUUAUAUAAUUUUUAAAACAAUCACCCCUCUAAGGAGCAUAACAAUGUGUUUUAAAUGUCCUCCCCAUUAUACAGUGAGACUUAUAAGAAUCUCAAGGAUGGUGUCCCAAGGCAAACUCAUGGCAAGAUCAAGAAAGAGAAUGGCCUGUCUUGACAAGAUUUGUGGUUUUGGCUUUCGUCUGAUGGAAUGAAUUGUACACAAAUACACAGAAAUCCCACAAAUAUUAAAAUAAUUGUAUCAACUUGUAAGAAAAAGGGAAAGAAAUAGCUUAAAAUGGAAUAUUGCUAAGCCCUCAAACCUUUACAAGCAGGAAAUAGGUGUAAACAGGCUUAGGAAAAUGGAAGGUGGACUCAGGGCAGAUUGAGGAGAUCUUGGAGUGCAGCAAAGAGCCAUAGAGAGCAAUUUCCAGGGAGUAGGACUGAACUCUAACCAAAUAAUUGGCAGCAUGUGCCUGGCAUUUCAGGAUUGACAUGGACCGGUGACUACUGUGUUCCUUCCCAUUCCCCACCCUUUUGUGUAGGAUUGUCUGUAGCAGUUUCCCAAUGCCUGUUCCUCCACUUGACGUUGGGUAUUUGGAGAACAAGAAAAAUUCUCUUUUUAGGUCAGAUGUGUGACAUGUAUCACAUUGUAAAAAAGAGUGCUCAAUGAGCUGUAUUUCAGGAAUUGCACUUAAGGGGAAUUAUUUUUACCUAUAUUGGAUUAAUAUGAUAAGAUUUUGAACUUUGAGCUUAUGUAAUUAUGAAGUGAGACCUUUAGUCUUGGGGAAUGACUGUAUUUUAUAUGCGAGAGGUAUAUAAAUCACUGUGGCCUGAAGAUAGACUGUGGCAGAUUGUAUUUUUCAAAGAUUUCCUGUCACACUUUUUUUUUAUUCUUUAUUUUUCUCUUUCUUUCUCUUUCCUCUUUCUCUUUCCCUUCCUCCCUUCCUUCCUUCUUUCCUUCCUUCCUUCCUUCCUUCCUUCCUUCCUUCCUUCCUUCCUUCCUUCUUUUCUUUCUUUCUUUCUGAGAGGGUCUCACUCUGUUUCCUGGCUAGAGUGGUGUCACAUUCAUAGCUCACUGUAGCUCAAACUCCUGAGUGCAAACAAUCCUCCUACAUCAGCCUCCCAAGUAGCUUGGACCACAGGUGUGCAUCCACUCCUGGCUAAUUUUUUAAUUUUAAUUUUUGUAGAGACGGGGUCUCACUUUGUUGCUCAGACUGAUCUUGAAUUCCUGGCUUCAAGAGAUCCUGCUGCCUCAACCUCUAAACUUGCUGGGAUUGCAGGUGUGAACCACCAUGCCCAGCUACUUUCUUUUUCUUACAAUAUGCCUUUGAUGCUCUUCCCAUCAAGAGGUAUUCCUUUCCCUUGAAUAUGGGCAAGGCUGUGAUUAUUAAUGCUAUAUGACUUUUGAGAGUAGGUCAUGAAGCAUGAUACAUUUUCCUAGUUCAUUUAGGAUGCUUGCUCUUAAUACCUAGCCCCUAUGCUUGUAUAAGUCCAAGAGACCUGUUGUGGGGAGGCUCACAUGAAGAAGAACGCAGGCACCUAGCCUACAGUCUGAUUGAGCUCUCAUCUGAUAACCCAUAAGAACUUGAGAGCCUUGUGAGUAAACCAUCUUGAAUCUUUCAGGACCCAGUUGAAACACUUCAGCUGAUGCUGCAUGGAUCAUUGCGGAUUUGUGAGCAAAAUAAAUUAAUAUAGCUUUUUGUUUUAAUUAAACAAUAUUUUUUGAGACAAGAUCUCAUUUUGUCACCCAGGUGGGAGUACAGUGGCACAUUCACAGAUCACUGUAGCCUCAAAUUCCUAAGCACAGGAGGUCCUCCCACCUCAGCCUCCCCAGUAGCUGAGACCACAGCAUGUGCCACUGUGUCUGGCUAAUUUUUUAUUUUUUUGUAGAAACGGAGUCUUGCUAUGUUGCCCAGGCUGGCCUCAUGUGAUCCACUUGCCUCAGUCUUCCAAAUUGUUGGGAUUACAAGUGUGAGGCACUGCACUGAGCCCAAUAUUCCUUUUUAAGCUACUAAGUUUUGGACUGAUUUGCUUCCCAGCAGUAUACGAUUGAUAAAACACAGAAUAUAGAAUAAAAUUAAUCUCUUAUGUUGUCCUAUGAGGCUUUGUGAGAUUUAGUUUCUACCAACACCCCAAAGUCAUGUCAUACCAUUUUUCACUGUGCUUACUUUGCUUCACUGACUUUUCUCCUGUUUUCUAAAACUAGCUAGUUCUUAUCUUCAGGCUUUGUCAUUGUCAUUCCCUGCUGAGAAUAUUGUCUGUCCAAAUCUUGUAAUUCAGACUCAAAAAUAGUCUGUGGCCACUCAAUCUAAAGUAACCCACCACAAACUCUAGCCCAUCUCCCUAUUUAUUUUCAUCAUGAUAUUUAUAUCUAUCUCAUCUAAAUUUUAUCUAUUUGUCAUCUAUCUAAUUGAAAUUUCAUGUUUCUUUACUACUAAUACGCAAGCUCUGUUAAGACAGAAGUAUUUAGUUUAAUUAGAUCCCAUUUGUCAAUUUUGGUUUUUGUUGCCAUUGCUCUUGGUGUUUUAGACAUGAAGUCUUUGCCCAUGCCUAUGUUCUGAAUGGUAUUGCCUAGGUUUUUGUCUAGGAUUUUUAUGGUUUUAGGUCUAACAUUUAAGUCUUUAAUCCAUCUUGAAUUAAUUUUUGUAUAAGGCGUAAGGAAGGGAUCCAGUUUCAGCUUUCUACAUAUGGCUAGUCAGUUUUCCCAGCACUAUUUCUUAAACAGGGAAUCCUUUCCCCGUUUCUUGUUUUUGUCAGGUUUGUCAAAGAUCAGAUAGUUGUAGAUAUGUGGCAUUAUUUCUGAGGGCUCUGUUCUAUUCCAUUGGCCUAUAUCUCUGUUAUAGGGACACUUUUACACUGUUGGUGGGACUGUAAACUAGUUCAACCACUGUAGAAGUCAGUGUGGCGAUUCCUCAGGGAUCUAGAACUAGAAAUACCAUUUGACCCAGCCAUCUCAUUACUGGGUACAUACCCAAAGGAUUAUAAACCAUGUUGCUAUAAAGACACAUGCACACGUAUGUUUAUUGUGGCACUAUUCAUAAUAGCAAAGACUUGGAACCAACCCAAAUGUCCAACAAUGAUAGACUGGAUUAAGAAAAUGUGGCACAUAUACACCAUGGAAUACUAUGCAGCCAUAAAAAAUGAUGAGUUCAUGUCCUUUGUAGAGACAUGGAUGAAGCUGGAAACCAUCAUUCUCAGCAAACUAUUGCAAGGACAAAAAACUGAACACCACAUGUUCUCACUUGUAGGUAGGAAUUGAACAAUGAGAACACAUGGACACAGGAAGGAGAACAUCACACACCGGGGCCUGUUGUGAGGUGGGGGGAGCGGGGAGGGAUAGCAUUUGGAGAUAUACCUAAUGUAAAUGACGAGUUAAUGGGUGCAGCACCCCAACAUGGCACAUGUAUACAUAUGUAACAAACCUGCACGUUGUGCACAUGUACCCUAGAACUUAAAGUAUAAUAAAAAAAAAAGAAAAAAAAGAAAGACAGAAGUAUUGUUCAUCUUGUUUUCUUCCCUAAUCACGUUACCUAGAACAGUGCCUAUCAGAUAGU